rnacentral:rRNA from 1 species
GCACAAGCGGUGGAGCAUGUGGAUUAAUUCGAUGCAACGCGAAAAACCUUACCUACCCUUGACAUGUCUGGAAUUCCGAAGAGAUUUGGAAGUGCUGCAAGAGAACGGAACACAGGUGCUGCAUGCGUCGUCAGCUGUGUCGUGAGAUGUGGGUAAGUCCCGCAACGAGCGCAACCCUUGUCAUUAGUGCUACGAAAGGGCACUCUAAUGAGACUGCCGGUGACAAACCGGAGGAAGGUGGGGAUGACGUCAAGUCUCAUGGCCCUUAUGGUAGGGCUUCACACGUCAUACAAUGGUCGGGACAGAGGGUGCCAACCCGCGAGGGGGAGCCAAUCCCAGAAACCCGAUCGUAGUCCCCCCCCCCGUCGCACUGGGGCGGAAGUCGAAUCGC